rnacentral:sRNA from 1 species
AAUGGUUCCAAGGCGUAUUCCAAAUCUGUUUAAAAAACGACCAGUUGUCGCUGGCACUGUGCCAAACCUGACCAAUACUUGGAGUGUUGGCGCGGCGCAUCCCCCCAAGUGGCGCGUCAAUAAAGGUGCCCAGGGACCGCGGUACCUUUGUUUUACUCCUAAUGGUCUUAACCCGGAUUCCCCCCCCAGAACCCGG